rnacentral:lncRNA from 1 species
UCCAUUAGGUUGAGCCAUCUGAUCUGACAAAUAUUUCAAAUACUACACUCAUGAUCUUAUUAUCCAUCAACUUGUCUUGCUCACUAUGCUUAAGGUUAGAGAAGAACAAAUACACUUUUGGUUCUGUUGGUGUUUUCCACCAACAGAGCCCAUGCACUUGAUCUCUGCCUUGUCUCUAUGAACAGGUACACUUCAAGGAAAACAUGGAGGAGUUUUACAACUCCCAGACUCCAUCAAGUGAAGGACCUAGAUCUAUGAGCACAAACACACUGAGCAGGAUAUUGCCAACACCAUACUUCGAACUGCUGGGCAAAGAAGAACAUGGGUGACACCGUAUCAAUAGGUGCAGACGUCAAGGUCCACACCUAAUCAAAUGAUGCACCUAAAGGAUGAAGAUGGUGGAAAGUCUUGUCCAGAAGACUUAAAACAUUGGAUCCUUGUCGGAAGAGGUCAACAUCGUCGACUCAAGUCACCUUUCUUAAUCAAGAAGGACGACCCUGGUGUUCCAAGCAUCGAGUGCGCAAUCAAUGGAUACUCUUUUCAGAAGACACUCUAUGACACUGGAUCUGACGACAACAUAAUGGCCGCAGUCACUUAUCAGCACCUGCAUGGAACCAUGCCCCUACAACCAAAAUAUUCAGCUCCAGAUGAUUUUUAGGUCAUUGACAUGGGAGAAGACGAAUAUGAUCCACCCACCAUCCUUGGAAGACCGUUCCUCAACACUAUCAAAGCAAUCAUCUACAUUGGAACCGGAGAAGUCCACAUGUACUUCCCCUCUGAGAAGGUCAGGACAAGAAGAUGACGCAACCGCAACCAGAGGAGGCAAAUCAUCAAGAACGGAUGGGUAGACUACGAAGGAGAAGUGAUAAGGACUGAAGACAUAUAGCUUGAACAGAACUGUCCUGAGGAGACCAUAGCACCGAGUCAGGUGUGGAGGGAGAAGAUAGUUAUACACGAAGAUAGGCGCCGCCGGAAUCACUGACUACGCCACCUAGCGAAUCUCAGGACGACUGAGAAAACAGAGAGUCCCGUUCGGAGGACAUAAAAAUACCGAACGCCUUGCCAAGAGGUAAACUUCGUAGUUAUCCUUUUCCUUUCAAUAGUUUGCUUAGUUAACCAGGUUCAUAUCAUCUCGAAAAGAAAAUAAAAAUAGUAAGCCCCAUGUGAGUAUGCUCAUGGCAUAAAACCCAUAGGUAUAUUCACUGUGGUGGCAUAAAAUAAAUAUAUUUUCAUCUUACAAUAAAAAUAUAAAAAUAAAUUUACGAUCCUACUAAAGAGAGUAACAUUUAUUGUGGAGGCUCAACAUGAUAAAGGCUCGAUAUUUAUGCUAACACUUAACCAGUUCCACAAAGCUUUGUUGUCUAUUUGAGCUCCACAGAAUUUAAGAAUCAAGAAGACUAGCAGACGGAGGACAUUCUAAUCGCUGUCAGAAUGCUGCUGACUUUCAAAUACAGCUCUGCCACCUGCUAGAUACAUCAAGAGAAAUUACGUCAAAAUUCAGCUUGGGGGAGAGCACCCCCAUUUAUCUCGCUAAGUAUUUCUACCUAUCUUUAUACUUAUAUUAUGUUAGAAUAUUAAAAUACAUAAACUAUGAAAAAUCAAAUAAAGAUUUUGUGCUUAUAUAUAUCUUUUGCUUAGUAUGUUUAAUAAAUAAAUAAAGUGGCUAUGCUAAUCUGAAUAAUAAAACUCUAGCAUGGAUAUGAUGAAUAGUUGCUCUGCCUAAUUUGCAAUUUUGAAGUUCUCUCUCAAGUUUAGACAUAACUGUUAUAAUUUAAAGCUUGCUCUAGAUCUAAACUUGUGGGAUGAAAACUUGAUCUGAAAUCUAAGUUGUUAACGGAUAUGAUAUGGGGAAGUUGAGCUGCUGUUUAUCUGUUCCUAGAGAUGCUAGAAUUCUGGAGAAUUUUAUCUUUAAAAAAUCUUUAAAAUAUUGCAUGAUGAGUUCUUGUAUGAUGAGAGUUUAAAUUCCAACCACAGCCAUAUAUACAUGCUUGCUAGACUUUGAGCCACACAUUUACUAUUUACUGCUUAUGAGCAUUGAGUGUGGUCAAGCUGUGUAGACCCUUAGGAGCUUGUCAUGUGGUUAAAUCAAGAUUCACUUGCACGUUCACUCAUAUAUGCUACUUCUACUCCAGAAGUACCAUCCACAUAUAUCCAUCCAUUUCCAUCUCCAGAAUCACCCAAAAAUAUUCUACUCCUAAUCCGGGAGAGAAUAGUCAAAAACAUUUUCCUAUCCGUGUUAUUCCCUAUGAAAUAAAUGCUCCAAAUAUUUUGGUUACUACCACUUGCUAUGUUAUCUCAAGAGAUGAGUGCUCUGAAAAAAAAAGAGAAAGAAAAGAGAAAAAAAAUAUAUAAACGAGGAAAUAAAAAGGGGCAAGUGCCCGGAACCUCGAAAGAAAGAAAAAGUGAGACGAGAGGUAAAAAUGGACAAGUGUCCGACAGUAGAAUUAGGGGUACAAGAUACCCACCUGAGAGAAAAGAAAAAGAAGAGCAUCUCAUUCUCCUCAUAAAGUUUCAAAAAGCAAGGAAGGUAUGUAUCCCCUCAAAAGAGCAAAAGUAGAAUUAGACUUUCACCAUUGUUAUUACCAUCAUCACCAUACACCACACAUGCACAUCUUGAUUUGGCUUAUUGAUUUGUUUCUCUGGAUCCAUGGCUUGACUAUGCAAUAAAUGUCUUGUAAGUAUGUAUUAACUGUCUCCCACCUAUGAGUUCCAGAUAUCAAGCCUUAUUAGAGUAGGGUGAGAGAGAAGGCAAUGUCACUAUGCCUUAUACCACAAAUACCACAUAUCUUGAGAGAAGGCAUAUACCAUCAAUGCCUUGGUAAGGAUCCAGAAAUGCCACAAAAGAGAGAUUUAGAGAGUCAUACAAGGAAUCUCUGAGUUUUAUUUGAAAAUCUGCAAAAACCCCAGAGCUAUAGCUGAUCAAGAAUAAGAGACAUGGCACUUGGCUGUUGGGUAUUCUUAACAUCAUUACUAAAAGUAGACUAAAUUCUCUAAAUCUAGUAACGGUGCCAAAAAUGCCAAACCUAUCCCUUACACCACUUAAGCCAAGUUGUCAUCCCCAGCAUGAUAUAAGAGACGCGGUAUUGAAAUAUGCAAUUGCUCUUCUAAAUAAAUAAUGAAUGGGAUCUGCAAGCGCACAGAUUAAUACCGAUGUAGCAUUUUAACCCGGAAGUAUUCCAGGUAUCGUUAUUUAUAUUUUUACCACUGGGAAGGGAUUAGAAAUCAUCACUAAUGAUUACAGAAUAGAAUAUGAGAUUGAGCAUCUAUCAUUGCAUGUAUAAUUGAGAACAUUAUAUCUAACUCAUCAUACAGGGAUAAGUGUCACAUAAAAGAUAUAUGAAAUAAUAAUAGUGACAAGGAUAACUAAUCUGAUCUAGCCACAUAAUAAAUAUGAUAAGCACCUCAAUUAGAUACUCUAGAAAGUCAUUAGCAUGGUAUUAGAACGAACUACAAGAAUAUUCCCUAAGUUAUUCUUAACUAUAUAGUCUAGCAUUAUCAUAAUUAGUGCAAGCAUACUUAGCAAUCAUUGCGAGACAAGACUACGCCCAUGCAUAGUGAUAUUAGCAAGGAAUAUGAGAAACAUAGCAAUCACUCCCCUGUAAUAAUGUUGCUCUGCCAGCCCAAUACACGAGAGGGGGACUAUUUAAGAAUCAAUGAAGCUGUCACUAUCACGAACCACCCCACGAUCUGGUAUAUUGGGUACAAUCGCAGAUAAAUACGGUAUAAGCACCACGCCUACACAAUAUCUAUCAUUUACCCAUGGAUCCGAUGGAUAAACGCUAUACGAUCCUAAGCAUGUAUAUAGAUCGUAUCUAACUAAGCCAAGUACAUAACUAUGAUAAACUAAGAACAAUAUAAUCUUGAAUAUGAGCAAAUAGAGCAAAGUCAUAAACAAUAUAUUGAAGUAGAACAAAGUCAUAUUCAUAAUAUUGAAGAACAAAGAUAAUUAGAAAGCAAUUAGAAGCACAAUUAGAGAAUUACCAAGAAUCCUCCUGACAGAUCCGGAAACCAAUCGAAGAUUGACUCCUUCUAGUUCUAAUCCUAUGUAGCUAUGCUAAUCUAGAUAUCUAAUUGAUGCGGUGGCUCUAAUCUUGAUCAGAGGCUUCUUCUCCCUUGAUGGAACAAUGAAUUAGGGUUGAGAGGCUCUCUCCUCCAGGGGCCAGGGGGUCUGAUUUUAUAGUCCCUUCAAGUGAAUAUGGGCCCUUGGAUCAAACCGACAUAGAUUGUAUGGUUUAGAUUCAUCCUUUAGGUCGGUGGAAAUCUCCAGCGAAGCAGAGUCCUGAUUGGACUCCCAGAGGGGGCGGGCGCCCAGGGCAGGAGGGCGGGCGCCCUGCCUCUGGCCCCGUUUCGCCUCCGCUUCGGUCUCGUGGCUUCUGGAGUCUUCUAGAUGUAAGAUAAUUGCGCAGCACGUUAAUAUCUUUACGUAAUCCUGACAUGUGGGCCUUUCUUCCAUAUUUCCUGAUAACCCCCUGCAGAAAUAGACAAACACCAAAACUCGUGGAAUUCUGUCAGAUAAAACCCUAAGUCUGGAUGUUGAUUUCAUUUGGAUCCUUUUCUUUGUUUAUUUGUUAAUUAAAUUUGAUACUUAAGGACCGUCAACAAACUCCCCCAAGCUUACCUCUUGCUCGUCCCUGAGCAAGGAUAGACUUAGCUAUGGAUCAUAAGUUGUUGUAAUAUAUUUAAAAAUUUGACGGUACACAUGCUUUUAAAUAAGAUCUCAUCUCUGAGUUAGAGUAAACUGUCAAGACUUAAAACUUACUUACUUUACCUACACCAUGGGACUUGUAACUGUCACUUCUGUCUUGAGUGGUUAAAAGAUAGAACAGUCUAGCAAAGUGCCAUGUCUCUUAUUCUUGAUCAGCUAUAGCUCUGGGAUUUUUGCAGAUUUUCAAAUAAAACUCAGAGAUUCCUUGUAUGAUUCUCUCAGGUCUCUCUUUUGUGGUAUUUCUGGAUCCUUACCAAGGCAUUGAUGAUAUAUGCCUUCUCUCAAGAUAUGUGGUAUUUGUGGUAUGAGGCGUAGUGACAUUGCCUUCUCUCUCAUCCUACUCUAAUAAGGCUUUAAUAUCUGGAGCUCAUAGGUGGGAGAUAAAAUAUACAUACUUACAAGACAUUUAUUGCAUAGUCAAACCAUGGAUCCAAAGUAACAAGUCAAUAAGUUUAAUCAAGAUGUGCAUGUGUGGCGAAUGAAUGGUAUAUGGUGAUGAUGGUGAUAACAAUGGUGAAAACAAUGGUGGUGGAAGUCUAAUUCUACUUUGCUCUUUUGAGGGAAUACAUACCUUUCUUGCUUUUGAAACUUUAUGAGGAGAAUGAGAUGCUCUUCUUUUUCUUUUCUCUCAGGUGGGUAUCUUGCACCCCUAAUUCUACUGUCGGACACUUGUCCAUUUUUACCUCUCGUCUCACUUUUUCUUUUCUUUCGAGGUUCCGAGCACUUGCUCCUUUUUAUUUCCUCGUAUUAUUUUUUCUCUUUUUCUUUUUUUUAGAGCACUCAUCUCUUGAGAUAAUAUAGCAAGUGGUAGUAACAAGAUAACUUGAGCAUUUAUUUCACAAGGGGAAAACAGAAAAUAUUUUUGGUUAUUCUCUCCCGGAUUAGGAGUAGAAUAUUUUUAGGUGGUUCUGGAGAUGGAAUGGGUGGAUAUAUGUGGAUGGUACUUCCGGAGUAGAAGUAGCAUAUAUGAGUGAACGUGCAAGUGAAAUCUUGAUUUAACCACAUGACAAACUCCUAAGGGUCUACACAGCUUGACCACACUCAAUGCUCAUAAGCAGUAAAUAAUAAAUGUGUGGCUCAAAGUCUAGCAAGCAUGUAUAUAUGGCUGUGGUAGGAAUUUAAGCUCUCAUCAUACAGGAACUCAUCAUGCAACAUUUUAAAGAUUUUUAAAGAUAAAAUUCUCCAGAAUUCUAGCAUCUCUAGGAACAGAUAAAUAGCAGUUCAACCUUCCCAUAUCGUAUCCGUUAACAACUUAGACUUCAGAUCAAGUUUUUAUCCCACAAGUUUAGGUCUAGAGCAAGCUUUAAAUUAUAACAGUUAUAUCUAAACUUGAGAGAGAACUUAAAAUUUGCAAAUUAGGCAGAGCAACUAUUCAUCAUAUCCAUGCUUAAGUUUUAUUUAGAUACAGAUUAGCAUAGCCACUUUAUUUAUUUAUUUAACACACUAAGCAAAAGACAUAUAUAAGCAUAAAAUCUUUAUUUGGUUUUCCCAUAGUUUAUGUGUAUUAAUAUUCUAAAAUAAUAUAAGUAUAAAGAUAGAUAAAAAUACUUAUCGGAAUAAAUGGGGGUGCUCUCCCCCAAGCUGAAUUUUGACGUAAUUUCUCUCGAUGUAGCUAGCAGGUGGCAGAGGUGUAGUUGAAAGUCAGCAGCAUUCUGACAGCGAUUAGAAUGUCCUCCGUCUGCUAGUCUUCUUGAAUUCUGUGGAGCUCAAAUAGACAACAAAGCUUGUGGAACUGAUUAAGUGUUAGCAUAAAUAUAUAGCCUUCAUCAUCUUGAGACUCCUUAAUAAUUAUUACUCCCUGUUUUUAUAUUUUUAUUUUAUAAAGCAGAAAAAUAUUUAUUUUAUUUUUAUGCCACCACAGUGAAUGUACGUAUGGGUUUUAUGCCACUCGUAUACUCACAUGGGGCUUACUGUUUUUCAUAUUUUUAUUUUCUUUUUAGGAUAGCAUGAACAUGUUUAACUAAAUAACCUAUUUGAAAUAAUUGAGAAGGAAAGGGUAACUACCAAGUUUACCUCUUGGCAAGGCGUUCGGUGUUUUUAAGUCCUCCGAACGGGACUCUCCAUUUUCUUAAUCGUCCUGAGGUUCGUUGGGUGGCGUAGUCGGUACUUCCGGCAGCGCCUCCUCUUCUUGUAUAGUUAUCUUCAUUUUCCAUACCUGACUCGGUGCUUCAAUCUCCUCUAGAUAAUUCUGUUUAAACUCUACGUCUUCUGACCUUACAACUUCUCCUUCAUAGUCUGCCCAUCCGUCCUUGAUGAUCUGCCUUCUCUAGUUGCGGUUGCGUCUCUUUCUGACCUGCUUAGAUUCUUCAACGAUAUAGUCAGGGUCAGUAAAAUAACGGCGUACCUUGUCUGAGGGGAAGUGCAUAUGGACUUCUCCGGUUCCAAUGUAGAUAAUUGCUUUAACGGUGCUGAGGAACGGCCUUCCAAGGAUGAUGGGUGGAUCAUACUCGUCUUCUCCCAUGUCAACAACUUAAAAGUCUGUGUAGACAAAGUGAUCGUCUAUUUUGACUGGGACAUCAGAUACUAUUCCUUGAACUUCUCGAAAUGUCUGAUCUGCCAUCUGGAGCUGAAUGUAUGUUGGUCUUAGUGGCAUGGUCCCGAACAAGAGCCGAUAGGUGACUGCGGCCAUUAUGUUGACGCCUGAUCCGGUGUCGCAAAUCGUCUUGUAGAAGUUGUAUCCAUUUAUGGAGCAGUAAAUGCUUGGCAUUCCUGGGUCGUCCUUCUUGGUCAAAAACGGUGACUUCAGUUGGUGAUCUUGGCCUCCAUGGACUACAGUGACCAUCUUAGCUGACUCGGUCCACACUUGCUUGUUCCUGUUCCUCCUGUUGGUCCUCUUGAUUCACGUCUGGAUUGAUUUGGAAUUUGUGUAGUCUUGUUCUUGAAGAAAAAUGUCUCCUUCUUCCCUUUGACAUAGAAACUGAUCUUAGCAGCACUGGCGUAGAUGAUAGCUCCCGUGGUGUUCAAGAAUGGCCUCCCUAAGAUGAUAGGUGCUCUCUCAUCAUUUCCGGUCUCUACCACUACGAAGUCUGCUGGUGCAUACAAGGUACCAACUCGGACACAAAGGUUCCUCACUAUUCCUUUUGGAAAAGUUAUCGUCUGAACUGCAAACUGCAAACACAUGGUUGUCUCUAAUAAAGGAUAUGUAAAGAAUUUUUCAUAGAGUACCCUGGGUAUAAUGUUGACGCUAGAGCCAAAGUCGCAGAGUGCUUCUGGGACAUCCACCAUGCCGAUGGAGAUCGGGAUGACGGGGCGUCCUGGAUCGCCUCUCUUGACCGGCAGAAGGUCAGUAGAGAAUUCAGUGACGGGGUUACUCCAAUUACCUGCAUCAAACAUGUCUACAAGAUUUGCAGAUUCUAAUCCUUCCGGUUGUGAUGGUAUACCGGGGUUAGUAGUAGGAACAGCAGCAGCUAUUUGAUUUAACUGAGAUUCAAUCAUUUUAUUAAAGCUAAUUUGAUUCUUGAUGGCAGUAGAGAAAUUAUCCAUUCUAUUAUUUAUAUUUUCUAGUAUCUUAUCAUUAGAUGCCAAUCUCUUAGAUAGAUUAUCCAUUAGCUUUCCUUGAUUAGACACUAACUCUCUCAAAGGUGGAAAAUUAUUAUUGUUGUAAGAAUUGUUACCUUGAUAAUUACCUGAGUAGUUAGGCCUCUGUUGAUUCCAACCUUGAUUUUGUUGAGGACGGUUGUAGUAGUUGUUGUUGUUGUUGAUGUAGUUCACAUCCUCAAGUAUCUCAAGGCAGUGGUUGCCUGAGUGUCCAGUGUCUCCACACUCCUCACAAGUCAUGUGAGAGUCGUAGAUGUGCAUAACUUCUUUCUUGUCUCCAGCUCUAUCAUCGAGCUUCUUCAUGAGCAGGUCUAGCUUUGCAGACAGCAUGUCUACCUCUUUCAGCUGAUGCAUACCUCCAUCUCUCUUGCGUGUCUGGGUCCUCUCUUCAUUCCAGCUUUGAUUAGACGCCAUCUUCUCCACAAGAGCUGUGGCUUGUGGUAUAGUAAGUGAUAAGAAUGCUCCUCCAGCUGCAGCAUCCAUGGUCUCUCGGGCACUGUUGCUGAGCCCAUGAUAAAACGUCUGCAUCAAUAGCCAACUCUCCAUUCCAUGAUGGGGACAUUCUAGGAUGUAGUCUUGAAAGCGCUCCCAUGGUUCUGGAACAGAUUCAUCAUUUUGUUGCUGAAAACUUGUAAUCUUCCCACGGAGAGCAUUGGUCUUGCCCAUGGGAAAGAACUUAGCCAGGAAGUUUGUUGAGCAGAGUGCCCACGUAGUAUUCUUCUCCUUUCUAGCGUAGAACCACUGCUUCGCUCUUCCUAACAGUGAGAAUGGGAAGAGGCGAAGUAGUAUAGCGUCUUUGGAAACUCCUGCUAUGGUGAAUGUGUUGCAAAUCUCCAGGAAGUGUUGUAAAUGAGCACUAGCAUCUUCGUGUGCCUUCCCACAGAACUGGUUGGAUUGCACCAUGUUGAUAAGUCCAGGCUUGAGCUCAAAGUUGCCAUCGAUCUCUGCAGCAGGUCCAGUGCGGAUGUUGUCCGUAGUGGGAGCUGAGAACUCGCGGAUUGAUUUGUUCGCCAUGGCUUCGAACUCUGAAGACAAGUUCCGGUGAUCUUCUUGAUUGGAUGAAGCUUCUUGCUGAAGUGUUGAUGAUUUCUUUAGCUUGGCCCUCGUCUUCUUGAAUAAUGCUUCGGGAUCGUCAACAAAAUUUCCUGGAAGAUGUCUUCUAUUCAUACAUUCCCCUGCAUAAGAUAAAACAGAAAAAUAUCGGGGUAAAACUGUGUGAGAGAAUAGAUAAGCUCAAUUAUAUUAGUGAUGCGAAUGAUUACUCAAAAUCUUUUAUUCCAUUCCUGAUUAGUAAUCAACCUUCCCCGGCAACGGCGCCAAAAAUGCUUGUUGGGUAUUCUUAACAUCAUUACUAAAAGUAGACUAAAUUCUCUAAAUCUAGUAACGGUGCCAAAAAUGCCAAACCUAUCCCUUACACCACUUAAGCCAAGUUGUCAUCCCCAGCAUGAUAUAAGAGACGCGGUAUUGAAAUAUGCAAUUGCUCUUCUAAAUAAAUAAUGAAUGGGAUCUGCAAGCGCACAGAUUAAUACCGAUGUAGCAUUUUAACCGCGAAGUAUUCCAGGUAUCGUUAUUUAUAUUUUUACCACUGGGAAGGGAUUAGAAAUCAUCACUAAUGAUUACAGAAUAGAAUAUGAGAUUGAGCAUCUAUCAUUGCAUGUAUAAUUGAGAACAUUAUAUCUAACUCAUCAUACUGGGAUAAGUGUCACAUAAAAGAUAUAUGAAAUAAUAAUAGUGACAAGGAUAACUAAUCUGAUCUAGCCACAUAAUAAAUAUGAUAAGCACCUCAAUUAGAUACUCUAGAAAGUCAUUAGCAUGGUAUU